GACGAACGCUGGCGGCGUGCCUAUACAUGCAAGUCGAGCGAAGUUUUUCUGGUGCUUGCACUAGAAAAACUUAGCGGCGAACGGGUGAGUAACACGUAAAGAACCUGCCUCAUAGACUGGGACAACUAUUGGAAACGAUAGCUAAUACCGGAUAACAGUAUUUCUCGCAUGAGAGAUAUUUAAAAGUUGGUUAUGCUAACACUAUGAGAUGGCUUUGCGGUGCAUUAGCUAGUUGGUGGGGUAAAGGCCCACCAAGGCGACGAUGCAUAGCCGACCUGAGAGGGUGAUCGGCCACACUGGGACUGAGACACGGCCCAGACUCCUACGGGAGGCAGCAGUAGGGAAUCUUCCGCAAUGGGCGAAAGCCUGACGGAGCAACGCCGCGUGAGUGAAGAAGGAUUUCGGUUCGUAAAGCUCUGUUGUUAGGGAAGAAUGGAUAUGUAGUAACUAUACAUGUAAGAGACGGUACCUAACCAGAAAGCCACGGCUAACUACGUG
rnacentral:rRNA from 1 species